rnacentral:lncRNA from 1 species
CACAGAGCUUGAGGCUGACCGCAAUGAACCAGGUCUUGGGUGACCCACCGGAUGUCAUGUCGCUUCUAAGUUCUUGGAUGGCCCUUAGAUUGUGCUCGUUCAUCGAUUGUAGUCGUGGUAGGCUUAGGAUUUCACCGUGCCCCGUUAUUGACAGCAAAGGCGAAGCUACGAUUCCUGGAACUUUCCUCAAUGCUUUGUUGAGGUUUAAGAACAGGGUGCUGUUGAUCACGGUUCUGUCUUCGAACGUGAUGAGGUGGGCCUCUCUUGUCGUCCUUAGGGGUCCGUUGUCAACGCUGACCGUUGCUCGCUGCCCAUUUAUGAUGAUUAUGCCAUCGUCCACUACUACAGCAUUGAUGCAACAGGAUGGUGGUGGCCAGGUGGCUGGGUUGCGUGCGUCAUGAAGCAGAGCCGCCGGCGUGUACUUCGCGACAUAAAGAUAAUUUUAACCUGGGAGCAUUCUACUUAAAUAUGAAACGAAAAAUUUUUAUAUUUUUACAUACUCCCAACAAAUAAGCUACUGGGACCUCUGUGAGCUGUUCGGUAAAAAUAGUUUUAGGUCUUAGUGGGAUAUUCGCUUUGGCAAGUGUGAUCGUAAUCAUGAGAUUUGGACUACCGAAAUUAGCAUCCUGUUUCUGCGCCUCUGUGUUAAUCAGUACUCAGUUAAUCAGUCUAUGAUUCUACAAGCUGCUAUUUUUUCGAAGCCCAACUCGUCGGGGGUACUUGCUACGACCUUUAAUGCUGUUAUCAGGAAGUCUAGGCUUCUGGCCAUGUAUCAUUAAAGCGGACAACGGAUUUUUUAUGUUCUAUAUCUGAAUGUGGGAACAACUCCAACAUUUUAACGGUAUAAAAGGCGGUGAUCCGCGCAGUUGUAGUAGAAGGGAGUAGGAAGAGUAUUCCGUCAAACCUGCGGGAAUGAUACCUUAAAUCUGUAAAACAAAAGUUUGAAUUAUUUCAGAUUGUCCUUAUGGACCACCCUCCCCUUAAUUAGAACUGCCGUUCCAAGGUCCGCUUGUACCCGUUCUUCUGAGUACAGCGGGGUUAGCUUGUUCCCUAGUCUUUUGUUAUUCCUUGGGUAAACCUUUUCGCCCACUUCAAAGACUCUGUUCUGCCUCGAAAUGUUAAAAGGAAGCGCCUCGUUAGAGGUCGAAAAAACUUGAAUUCUCUUCAGUAUCAUCUUUUUGAACUCGGAUUUUACCGAGCCUGNUAGAUCUAGGGUAGUAAAAAAUCUUGCCUUUCCCAAGUUCGCUAGAAUCAUGGGUAUGCUCGGCAUAGGGUAUCGAUCGGCAAUUGUUCGCUCGUUCAGUUUUCUGAAGUCGAUUACCAGCCGCUUUUUCCUGUUGCCUUUGACGUCAGAUUUCUUUUUGUCUACAACCCAAAUUGGGCUGUUGUAUGGCGACCUAGAUGGCCUGAUUAUGCCGUCCUUCAGCAGUUCUUUGACUUCUUUGUUAACGAAGUCUGCUGCUCCCAUAGGGUAGGGGUAUAAUUUCGAGUAGACUGGUUCGUCAUUCACAGUUCGGAUGGUGGCGACAACUGAGGUGUUAAAGGGAAGCGCCUCGUUAGAGGUCGAAAAAACUUUAAUUCUCUUCAGUAUCAUCUUUUUAAACUCGGAUUUUACCGAGUCUGGGACCACCAGGUCAUCGACUUUGGUGAAAUUUACGUUGUCACAGUUAUGGAACCUAAGUUGUUCAGUUACGUUUCCGUAUCUGAUUCUUCCGCUGCGCAGGUUCAAUGCCGCUCCCGCUCGCGUUAGCAAAUCGGAACCUAUAAUGGCAUCGAACGUAGCUAGAGUGUCUAACAAAAAAAAUGGGGCGUUUUGCCCGAAAAUAUUCAUUAGGCACUUGUUUUUUAUUUCAGUGGAGCCAUGUAUCGAGCUCACCGUGAAGGGGGUGUCGACCGAAGUUACGUUUUUCAGCUCCUUUAUGGGCUUUACGUAAUUUUUAGCCGCACCAGUGUCGAUUAAAAUUUUUAGUGUUUUGCCAGCCAACUGUCGCUCGACGAACGGCAAUUGGGAGCGCUCACUAAAAAAAUUCAACAGGUCGUUGCCGCUAGCCGAAUCACUUUCUUCGUCAAUUUCCGCAACCGCGGCCUCGGCUAAGUUUGCAUAUUCUUGUUCCCCUUGGUUAGGGGCCUGCUGUAUUAUAUUAUUUAUCCGUUGGCGUCUUUGCCCAGAUAUACGAUCUGACGUGUUCCGCCUUUUCUGAGCUUCGCCCUGUGUGACGUCGCUCUGUGGUUUCCCCCAAUUGGUCUGUUGCCUAAACCUAGACAUCGAUGGGUCAACUUCCAUAGGCUGCACUUGGUUUUGUUGUGGGGCCUCUUUAUCGUUUGGCUUUGGCCAAGGAUCGCCCUGUUGCUGCCUAUUUUGAUUACUUUUUCCCACAAAAUGUGGGUUCUUUUCCUGACCUUUACCUUGUCUGGCCUGGGCCCGAUGACCCUGUCUAUUGCCGUCGCCUGAAUGGUUUUUAUCCUCGAUCACCUUUGCAUACGUAGCGGCAAAUGCGCUUCUCUCAAUGCUAUUUUCGGCCUCGCGUGCUAGAGCUAAGGCGGAUGGCAAAUCCUUGGGCUGUGCCGGGAGAACGAACAAUUUUAGCGGCCUCUUGAGGCCCGCUAUGAAUGCGUGUAAAGCAUCAUUCCUAAUUUCCUCGUUGAGAAUGGUAGCUGCCUCCUCAUUAUGAGUCAUGACCACUUUGUUAGUGACGAGCGUGAGCUUUCUCUCGACUUCGUCAUAAUAUUCCAUUAGAUCGGUUUCACCCUGCCUAACCAUUUCCAAGUGUUGACGUAAUACUCGUAGGGAUGUUUUGUCCGCAUAUGUGCAAUCGAGUCUAGCUAUGAUUGCAUCAAAAUUGAGCACCGUGUUGUGCGAUGUGAGCAAUGCUCGAGCUGUUCCACAGAUUUUAUUUUUUAUGAUGGCCACAGCCUCGUAGUGUGUCUGACUACCAGAGUAGUUUUUGAAAAUUUCGUACGCAUCUAGAGCAGAUUGUCUCCAAGACACAUAUUCCUCAUGAUUCCCGUUGAAAGUUGGUACUGAUUUUAUGAUAUCUAGUUUCACUUCACAUUUUAUACUAGUGUCAAUGGUCACUCUCUUAUAAGUUUCCACAUGAGGGACACCUACAGUUAGAGCGCUCACACUAUUUCUAACUUUUUCGAGUUCCCUGCUAAAUUCUGCACUCAGUCGUCGUUCCUGUUCGACGAGGGCUGUGUUGAUUGCGCCUUCUACUAACGCUUUUAUCAUGGCUGGAUCGUUU